ACAAUCAAAUCUCAACCAGCCGAAUCCUAUCAAAAUCCCCGCCUUUUCUAAUUCUUUCUUCACUUUCUCAAUAGCAUCUCUCUAUGAUCCUCGGUGUUAAUAUAUAAAACAAUAACACAAGGAAGGAUACGAAAAGAUGCAAUAUCGAAGGUACUUCUGGACAUGCAGUUUCCAAUCUAUGGAUUCUCGCAUUUUCUCGUAAGUUCCACAGUUUUUAAAUUUAUUUAUUUUUGCUCAAUGAUGAUUGAUUUGCUUUAACCACACUGAAAAUAGAGAUCUUGGAGUUUGGAUUUUUCGAAGCCUUUUUCUCUAUGGUUUAAGGCGAAUUGCUAAGCUUUUUGUGUUUGAUUGUGGCUUCAUGAUUCUGUUUUCUAAGGGUUGAGGUUAAUGUUCCUUUUGUUACAUAUCCUCUUCUUUUAGAUUAUGGAAGAAAGCUUUUUGUCAAACACUUGGAAGUUUUUGGUUUUUUUGUUGGUCUUAAAAUUUAGAGAGGAAGAAAAACCCUUGCUUCAUUUGAUCUCUGAUGUGGAAAACAUUGGCCUUUCAACUGAGAGCAAUUAAUCGCUUCAUCUUUUUUUUUUUUUUAUCCUAAGAAUUUUUGUGUUUCUGAUUUGGGCAUUUUUAGUUAUUUAAUCUUUGAUGGUUUUGGCUUCCAAAAAGUGUUCCUUGAUAGAAUAAAGCAUUUUGUUUUGAGAAAUUGAUGGAAAUUGGGAAAUGAUGACAGCUUAAUUGCUGGAUGGUAUCUGAGCAAAGCUUUGAAGAUUUUUUUUUCCUUUUGCACGUCAGUCUGAUUCCAACCUCCAAAACUUUCAUCUCUAACGUUAAAAGGAAAAAAAGAACAGGGGAAUGGGCUUACCGGUUAACAAAUAUCUAGGAUUCAGGGGACGAUGACGAUAACAUGCAUAGUUCUUUUAAUUGUGGUGCUUCUAACUAUGUUCAGAGAUCUAAAAGCUUUGCAUUUAGAGGUCCUGGAGAGAAUUUUAGUAUCCAGGAUUUUGAAUUAGGUAAUAUCUGUGGGCGUUGGUUCUUCCUCAAAGUGGACCAAGGUGUUUAGUGAUAAUUGAAUGGCAGAUGCGUCGCAUGUUCUUUCCUAAUUUCACACUGCUUAAGAAAUAGGUAAUCAUAUGAAUCCCAGUCCUCCAUAUCGCUUCACUAAUGCAGCCUUUUCUGAUUGUGUGCUUCCAUAUGAAUCUUGUUCUGCAGCUACUUUGCUUUUGAUCAUAUUGUUAUAUUGCUGCAUAAAUUUUAAUAUAAUUUAUCCGAUGAGAUAAUGGCAAGAUUUACCCAUGUACUUCCAUAAAUUUGUCAAUGUAGUAUCUAUACAUUUAAUUUUUCCAA